rnacentral:rRNA from 1 species
GACGGGGGGGGGGGCAAGUGUUCUUCGGAAUGAUUGGGCGUAAAGGGCAUGUAGGCGGUGAAUCGGGUUGAAAGUGAAAGUUGCCAAAAAGUGGAGGUAUGCUCUCGAAAACCAAAUUCACUUGAGUGAGACAGAGGAGAGUGGAAUUUCGUGUGUAGGGGUGGAAAUCCGUAGAUCUACGAAGGAAACGCCCAAAAAGUGAAG